rnacentral:rRNA from 1 species
CGGCGUGCCUAAUACAUGCAAGUUGAGCGCUGAAGUUGGUACUUGUACCGACUGGAUGAGCAGCGAACGGGCGAGUAACGACGUGGGGAAUUCCUGCCUUUGUAGCGGGGGACAACAUUUGGAAACGAAUGCUAAUACCGCAUAAAACUUUAAACACAAGUUUUAAGUUUGAAAGAUGCAAUUGCAUCACUCAAAGAUGAUCCCGCGUUGUAUUAGCUAGUUGGUGAGGUAAAGGCUCACCAAGGCGAUGAUACAUAGCCGACCUGAGAGGGUGAUCGGCCACAUUGGGACUGAGACACGGCCCAAACUCCUACGGGAGGCAGCAGUAGGGAAUCUUCGGCAAUGGACGAAAGUCUGACCGAGCAACGCCGCGUGAGUGAAGAAGGUUUUCGGAUCGUAAAACUCUGUUGGUAGAGAAGAACGUUGGUGAGAGUGGAAAGCUCAUCAAGUGACGGUAACUACCCAGAAAGGGACGGCUAACUACGUG